rnacentral:rRNA from 1 species
CCUGGCUCAGGAUGAACGCUGGCGGCGUGCUUAACACAUGCAAGUCGAACGAUGAUCCCAGCUUGCUGGGGGAUUAGUGGCGAACGGGUGAGUAACACGUGAGUAACCUGCCCUUAACUCUGGGAUAAGCCUGGGAAACUGGGUCUAAUACCGGAUAUGACUCCUCAUCGCAUGGUGGGGGGUGGAAAGCUUUAUUGUGGUUUUGGAUGGACUCGCGGCCUAUCAGCUUGUUGGUGAGGUAAUGGCUCACCAAGGCGACGACGGGUAGCCGGCCUGAGAGGGUGACCGGCCACACUGGGACUGAGACACGGCCCAGACUCCUACGGGAGGCAGCAGUGGGGAAUAUUGCACAAUGGGCGAAAGCCUGAUGCAGCGACGCCGCGUGAGGGAUGACGGCCUUCGGGUUGUAAACCUCUUUCAGUAGGGAAGAAGCGAAAGUGACGGUACCUGCAGAAGAAGCGCCGGCUAACUA